ensembl:lncRNA
AUAACAGCGUCCAGAUCCUCUCUGGAAAUGGCGGAAUCUUUGAAUUUUUCCUUUAUUGGCGAUUGUUCAAUCUCUCUUUUCCGAAAGAGAGUGGUUCAAAAUUUACUGACAGGAUAUAUAUAAUUUCUGGCAGAUUGAGCAGAGUGAAGGACUAUGCGUGCAUUGCUCCCGAAGGGUCACGUGAUCCCUCUUUUUACUAGUUUUAUUAGUUUUAUAAGAAUUAGCAUUUUAACUAGUGACAAUUUAAUUGUUGAUAUCACGAAUUCAUAUCCUGUGAAGGAAUAAAAGUCAAAAAGGCUUGCCAUAUAUAACCCCAACCCGCUACACACCCACCCACUCGGGAAUUCUCACUCCAAGUUGAACUCAAAAGUUGGCAGACCUGCUUUGCCAGAUGGAUCAAAAUCACGCAAAUUUACGUCUGAGAUCACACCACAGGGACGUGGCUGUUUCUGCAGUUGGUUUAAAGGGAUGGAGCUCAGUCAACUUCCUCUUGUGCUCUGUGGAUGGUCUCCCUCUAAUGUCAGUCAACAGAAGAACAGCAGUCAGACAUCAGACCAGAACCAGAGUGAAGAGACAUACAAGACACUGCAGUCCGGGUGGGGGGCGUGAAUGACCAGCGCUCUCUUCCAUCUUCAAUGUCACGACUGAGGUGAGAACCUAAAGCAAGGCACUGAACCCCAACUGCUCCCCAGGUGCUGCAGCAAAAUGAAAAUAAAUAAAGUAUUGCCCACUGCUCA